UAGGGUGUAGCUCAGUGGUAGAGCACUGAGCAUGAGUGAGGUCCUGGGUUUGAUUCCCAGCACUGCAA
rnacentral:tRNA from 1 species